rnacentral:lncRNA from 1 species
AUUGGGCCUAGAGGGUCACACACAUAUGGUAGGCAUUGCGAUGAGUAGAGGUUCGGAUAUGAGAUAUCCAACGGAGCCCUUGUCUUAUUGGAUGCAGAUCCAAUACCCACUAGGGAAUGACCCAUUAGGGUUUGAUAGGGGACCUCUAUAAAUAGGAGGGAUUCAGAGCCUCACAGGCUAGAGCCUUUGCUUGCCUCUCCUAUUCUCCUCCCCC